rnacentral:misc_RNA from 1 species
AACGCAUCUUGCGCCCUUUGGUUACUCCGAAGGGCAUGCCUGUUUGAGAGUCAUUAUUAUUCUCAACUUCAAAGUUUGCUUGUCAGACUCUGAAGCUUGGAUAUGGGGGACUUAUGCUGGCAUUUAUGUGUUGGCUCCCCUGAAUUGUAUUAGCAGAACCUUAAUGUCCUCUGGCUCUGGUUUGAUAAAUGAUAUCUAUACCACUGCUGAGGGAAUGGCUUCAGCUUCUAAAUUCUCAAUUCUUCUUGAAACUUGACCUCAAAUCAGGUAGGACUACCCGCUGAACUUAA